ACACAAAUUGAACCCACGCAUUUGGAAGUUCUGAGUCUAUAUGAAGUGCCUUAUUAAAUUUGCAAGUUUGGAAAAGGAGAAAAUUACAACUUGCUUUUAAUUUAUUAUGAUGGAAAACGGCUGAAAGGGAAAUUUCAUUGAGACAAAUGACUCACCAAAAAUAUAUAAGAUUUAAUCGUUUGAUAUACGUUUCGUUCACCAGAAGUAAGCUACUUAAUAGACCCUCAAACAGGAGUAAUAAAAGCUUAAAAAAAUGAUCAUGGAAAAAGGUAAUGGGCCAAAAACGAAAGCCGUCCCAACCUGUCCGACUUUUUUCCCUACAUAAAAGGCUCGUUCACCAUGAAUUAAAUAAAAAAUAAAUAAUGAAUAAAUAAGCCUUUGAAAUUUAAUAAACGAUGGUAUUAAAUCAUA